rnacentral:RNase_P_RNA from 1 species
CGGAUAAUUGCUGACGGAAAAAAUCCGUUAGAGGAAAGUCCAGGCUCGCACGGUCUGCGAUGACCGUAGUGUUUGUGCAAAAGGAAAAAAUAACUUUUGGCAGAUGGGAGCAUCUGACGGCAAAGUGAAACCUACGUCUCAGGAUACGGUGAAACUUUUGAAAGUGCCACAGUGACGGAGUUUGCGCGAAAGCGCAAAGUGGAACGCGGUAAACCCCUCAAGCGAGAAACCUAAAUUCGGUAAGGGAGAUCGGAGCGAAGAAAUGAAUUCAGUUCCGGUAUGCCGGCGACGGCAUAGAUAAAUAAUUAUCCUCGACAAAACUUGGCUUACAG